UACGAAGGGUGCGAGCGUUGUUCGGAAUUACUGGGCGUAAAGGGUUCGUAGGCGGGGAGAUAAGUGGGAUGUGAAACCUUCGGGCUUAACCUGGAGCGUGCAUCUCAAACUGUUUUUCUUGAGUGUUGGAGAGGGGAGUGGAAUUGCUGGUGUAGGAGUGACAUCCGUAGAGAUCAGCAGGAACACCGGAGGCGAAGGCGACUCCCUGGCCGAACACUGACGCUGAGGAACGAAAGCGUGGGGAGCAAACAGG
rnacentral:rRNA from 1 species